rnacentral:rRNA from 1 species
CGGACGGGUGAGUAACGCGUGGGUAACCUGCCCUGUACAGGGGGAUAACAGCUGGAAACGGCUGCUAAUACCGCAUAAGCGCACGAGGAGACAUCUCCUUGUGUGAAAAACUCCGGUGGUACAGGAUGGGCCCGCGUCUGAUUAGCUGGUUGGCAGGGUAACGGCCUACCAAGGCAACGAUCAGUAGCCGGUCUGAGAGGAUGAACGGCCACACUGGAACUGAGACACGGUCCAGACUCCUACGGGAGGCAGCAUG